rnacentral:rRNA from 1 species
UACGGAGGGUCCAAGCGUUAUCCGGAAUCAUUGGGUUUAAAGGGUCCGUAAGCGGUUUUGUAAGUCAGUGGUGAAAGCCCAUCGCUCAACGGUGGAACGGCCAUUGAUACUGCAAGACUUGAAUUACUAGGAAGUAACUAGAAUAUGUAGUGUAGCGGUGAAAUGCUUAGAUAUUACAUGGAAUACCAAUUGCGAAGGCAGGUUACUACUAGUGGAUUGACGCUGAUGGACGAAAGCGUGGGGGAGCGAACAGG